CUUGAUAUUUAAAACAGUUAAGCAGAGUGUGAACAGCAAUCAUUAGGAAAAUGAUCCAUUGAAUUAAUUGCCAAGGGGGAAAGAGGGAGGUUGAAAAUGAUAUUGAUGGCAAAUGUCUAAGGCAGAAUGGGUAUUUUUAAUUCUGUUUUUCCUUUCCUAUUUCAUGGGUGGUGAGGUUAGUAACUGUGUUGUACAAAACAGUGCUACGAGGAAAUAAAAGCAAGACAGACAAGUUGAAUGUGAAGGUUUUAUAAGUAGGAUUAAGAAGUUUGGAGCUUGUUCUUUCAUAAUAGAGAGUCAUGAAGGGUUUUAAUAAGAGAGAUGACACAAUCUGAACUUUGGAAAUAAAGCUCAGGCAGAAGAGCAGAGGGCAGAAUGGACACAUGGCUGGAGGCUUUCCCAAUAAUUUCAGGAAGAGAUGAGUUGUACCAGGACAGGAAGAGGCCCGGAUUCAUGCUCCCAAACUCUUACAUGUUCACUGUCCUGGGUUCUAAUAGACCAAUGACCACUGUGCUUUGUACUUCACAAAUAUACCUCACUGGUUUUCAUCUUCUCUGUGUGCCACAAGCCCUUAGCACAGUGAUGCGACAUAGUAAGCCUUUAAUGAGUGAACGAAUAAGAGAGAACAUCAAGGAAGAUAUAGCAGAGGUGACAGCACCCCAGAGAUAUUUGAGAUGGAAAAUUGGUGGGUGUUGGUGCUUGAGAGGCAGCAAGGAAUGACUCUGGAUUUUGAUCUAUUGUACAACAUGUGACUAUAUUUAGUAGCAAUGUAUUGUACACUUGAAAAUUGCUGAGAGAGCAGAUUUUAAGUGUUCUAAGCACAAUGACAAAAGCAUGCGAGGUAAUACAUAUAUUAAUAAGCCUGAUUUAGCUAUUCUGCAAGAUAUGCAUAUUUCAAAAAAUUAUGCUGUGUACAUAAUAUAUACAGUUCUUGUCAAUUAAAAAGUGUUUUUAAAGAAGUUACUGCAAAAUCCAAAAAAAGAAAGAAAAUGCCAUAUGAAUUGACAUGACAAUUGGCCAGAUCCCAUUUUAUCAGGCAUAGAAUCAAUUUUAUUAUUCUAGCUGAAUAGGUCCUAUUAAUCAUGAUAGGUAAAAUGGCAGAGAUCUGCUUUUUACUAGCAUGCAGCUGUUAACAUUUGCCACAACUUUUAGACGUUGCAGUUGGUGGGAGGGAACAAGCAAACACUUCUGCUAAGUAAUCUCUUUCUCCUUUUUGGAUAGAGUUAAGACACUGCAUCUACCCAAAACAAAAAAGUUACAAUGGGGUUUGGUUAGCAACAUUUUCCUUUGGCUAGGAUCUUGUGGAAUAAAAGUAACAUUUUUUUUUAACUAGAACAUUCUAUCAUGGCCUCUCUAUUGUUAACUUUAGACUCUGUAGCUGUUCAUUUGUAUCAUCAAGCUCUGAAGAUGACUUGCAGCCCAUCUCCACUUCCAUGGAGGUUUCCUAGGCCCAGGAAAAGGAAGGUAAGGCCCUUACCCCACCUCCCCACUUAUGGAGCCCCUCUGCCCUAUGGGGAAGACUCUACACCUGUCUAACGAAAGCUUUGAGCUUUUAAGAGGAAAGGCUUUUAAUUGAAUAUCCAGUUUUGUUCAUAACUGCUCUGACAUUCCCACAAUUCCUUUUGAACAAAGAACUGAACUCUGUUUCAUAAACGAUGUCCCACACAAAAGAGAAAACUGUUACUUUGCACAUUCUUGUCUACCCUGUGAAGAAAUGGAAUAGUUUUGAAAUAAAGCUAGACAGUGUGUCCUACAAGAGGGAGUAUUUUGCUGGGAACACAAAUGAGUCAAAUAGGUGAGUCAGGAAAUUAGCCACCCACUCUGCUGCUGAGCUUGGAGCUUUUAAAAAACUCAUUUAAUUAGCUCCCUGGCAGGGCUCAAUCUUACACGCAAUGUCCAAGACUCUCUGCAGCACCUCCGCAGGAGAGAAUCUUUGGGACAGCUGUGGACAUGCACAUACCAGCUCUGCCCACACCUUGCAAGGCUGGUAAAGAUAACCUAGGUCCAAGGCAGGACUAAAAGUCAAUGCCCAUGUAAAUGAGAGUUCUUGGGACCACAAGAGGAAAACACUCUGGACAUCGUGUGGAUAGGAAGGGGAAAAGAUGCAAUCCGAUUUCUUAAACCUUUGAUUUUAUCAGACAAUUUGGUCAUUUUGUCUUUAACUUACUUUAGUUCCACUCAUCUUUUAGUGGCAGAUUUUCAUGCUUCACUUGUGGCUUGGAGUUCCUUCUCCUCUACAUACCCUCUUCUUACAUGAUGUUGUAGCUAGAGAAAAAUUCACUUUGUCUUUCAAAUUGAUAAUAAAAGAUACAAGCACAUAUGAUCUUAUGCUCAAGGAGAUGAACAUGCACAUGUACACACACACACACACACACACACACACACAAACACACCCCUACCUCUAGGUAAGCAUAAUAGAGGAAUGUGAUAACUGAGAAAUGCCACUGAAUCCUUGCAGAUCUCUGAGAAAAUAAUUUCAGCCAUCAAAUGGUAAGGGUCUUUGAGCGGAAUGAGUGAGGAGCCAGUGGUGUGGACUGCACUCUGAGAAGCUUUUGAUAAAGGAUGAAGAGAGAAAAAGCCAUAACUUAUGAGGUCUAAGUGAGGCUUUCUCUUAGACAUCUAAUUUAUAGGUUGACAAGAAUAAGCCAGAGGAAAGAGAGGCUGAAGACAGAGAGAAAGGAUGAGAAAACUGCUGGAGCAAGGUCUGGAGAAGGCAGAAGAAAACUGAAGGGCAGAAGGGGAAUGUGUCUUUUCAGGAAAGUAAGAUCAUCUGCUGAGAGUCAGGAGAGAAACACAUGAGUUAGAGGCUACAGGAAGGUUGAAAAUGUGCAGAAUAUCUUGGAGGCAGGUAAUGCAAGUUUCAUGAAAAACUGUUAGGGUCAAACAUAGGAUAAUUCUCAGUCUGUAAGAGAAAAACUGUAACACUAAAAUGAUAUAAUAUUUUGAUUUUUUCAUCAUACCAAGGGUCUUUUCCCCUACAACUCUAUUAUAGCAUCAAAACUAAUCCUUUUUCAUCUCAAAGAUGAUAACCACACCUAGUGAUAAAAAUACAGAUCAUGACUACAUGACUCCAUGAGUAUCUCAAUGUGUUUACUCUUAGAUGUUUGACAAUUUUUUUUAAACUGCUGUCUUUUCAGCUGACCACUUUCUUGAUGCCCUUUCAGAACUUCCAAGUCUUUAGGGUGAUUUAGUGACAGCCCCUUCCCUAGAAUCUCCAUUAGCAGCUCUAUGACCCCUAUUUUCUAAGUGUUUUACAAGGAAUUUAAAUUUCAAAUGAUAUUUUAAUGUGGCAGCUCUCAGCAACCUAGCACAAGAUCUGCCUAGGUCGAAGGACAACAACAUACAAUAGUUCCUACCCCUGUCCUCCUACGUUGUCAUUCAGCCUUGUCAAAAUGCUGGCUCUCCCUUGGAGAGUGCUCUCUAUGGUUUUCUGUGCAAAUCACUAUGUAUGACACUUGUCCAUGACACACAGAGAAUCAAAAACAUCUGAAGAUUUUGCAGCUGAAUCGGUGUCAGGCCUGACAGGUGUAGAACCUUGGUAUUCUCAUAAACGAGGUAGCAUUUUUCCAUUUCCAAAAAAUGAUUAUUGUGAAAAUGUAUUUUCUUUUUCUAAGAAGGAGGAUGGAGGAGGAAAUUCUCCUGUAACUUUUCCCACUUUCCUGAAAAAUUGUAUACGGUGAGAUCUGAAGGAGAGGCUUUCAAAAAAGUUGUGGUAUCUGGGUGCAGGCUGAAAUAUGGGAAUUAUUUUGAGAAUUAUUAAAUUCUCAGUGAAGACUUAGCAGCAAAAUUGAUGCAUGGAUUGAUUUUGCCAGUCAAGCUCUGCCAGUCAUAAUCCUAGAAUACAAGUGAAAAGACUAACCCUUCUGAGUUACAUGAGAGAAACAAUGCCAGAUCUACAAAGCUAAUGACUAGUCAUUCAAUUUGUUUAGGUCAUUCUAAAUUUUAAGUUACACAAAACAUCAUGAGGAAUUUAGCCCUAAAACUUUGCAAUUUUAUUUUAACCAUCAAUAUGCUAUAUCAUUUUGGUACUGAGGUAAUAGUGGAGAAUAUAUGAUAUGCAUGCACACACUUGUAGCCUUCCUCAAACAGGGUUCCUUGGGGAAAACAAGCUCUUAUGCCCCAGAGCAAUGUCUUCAAAGUGUGGCCCAGGGACCCCUGGAGGUUCCUGGGAACUAUCCAGGAAGAUCCUCAAGGUCAAAACUAUUUUCACAAUAACAUGAAAUAUGUUACUUGCAUUUUUUAUUCUAAUUCUUUCAUUAGUGUACAGUGGAAUUUUCCAGAGGCUACAUGAUGCAACAGAUUGAAUGCAGAAGCAAGAUAUGAGAAUCCAGCUGUCUUCAUUUGCACUACAUGUUAAAGAGCUUUGCAGAAAUGUGAAACAAUGCCACUUUUCUAAUUUUUUUGUUUUGGAAAAUAAACUUUUGGUAAAAAUAUGUUAUUUAUAUUAACAUGUAAAUGUUUUAUGAUUGUUAUU
rnacentral:lncRNA from 1 species